AAGUCGUAACAAGGUUUCCGUAGGUGAACCUGCGGAAGGAUCAUUACAGUGUUCCUGCCCUCACGGGUAGAAACCCCACCCUUGUAUAUUAUAUCUUUGUUGCUUUGGCAGGCCGCCUUCGGGCACCGGCUCACGCUGGAUCGUGCCUGCCAGAGGACCCCAAAUUCUGAAUGUUAGUGUCGUCUGAGUACUAUAUAAUAGUUAAAACUUUCAACAACGGAUCUCUUGGUUCUGGCAUCGAUGAAGAACGCAGCGAAAUGCGAUUAGUAAUGUGAAUUGCAGAAUUCAGUGAAUCAUCGAAUCUUUGAACGCACACUGCGCCCCUUGGCAUUCCGAGGGGCAUGCCUGUUCGAGCGUCAUUUAAACCAAUCCAGCUUGCUGGGUCUUGGGCUUUCGCCUCUGGGCGGGCCUCAAAAUCAGUGGCGGUGCUGCCAGGCUCUAAGCGUAGUAAUUCUUCUCGCUACAGGGUCCUGGUGGAGGCUUGCCAACAACCCUAAAUAUUUCAAAGGUUGACCUCGGAUCAGGUAGGGAUACCCGCUGAACUUAAGCAUAUCAAUAAGCGGAGGAAAAGAAACCAACAGGGAUUACCUCAGUAACGGCGAGUGAAGCGGUAACAGCUCAAAUUUGAAAUCUGGCUCUUUCAGGGUCCGAGUUGUAAUUUGUAGAAGAUGCUUCNGGUGUGGCUCCGGUCUAAGUUCCUUGGAACAGGACGUCAUAGAGGGUGAGAAUCCCGUAUGUGACUGGUUGCCUUCGCCCAUGUGAAGCUCUUUCGACGAGUCGAGUUGUUUGGGAAUGCAGCUCUAAAUGGGUGGUAAAUUUCAUCUAAAGCUAAAUAUUGGCCAGAGACCGAUAGCGCACAAGUAGAGUGAUCGAAAGAUGAAAAGCACUUUGGAAAGAGAGUUAAACAGUACGUGAAAUUGUUGAAAGGGAAGCGCUUGCAACCAGACUUGCACGCCGUCGAUCAUCUCAGGUUCUCCUGGGUGCACUCGGCGGUGUUCAGGCCAGCAUCGGUUUCGGUGGUUGGAUAAAGGCCUUGGGAAUGUGGCUCCCCUCGGGGAGUGUUAUAGCCCUCGGUGCAAUGCAGCCUACCGGGACCGAGGACCGCGCUUCGGCUAGGAUGCUGGCGUAAUGGUUGUAAGCGACC
rnacentral:rRNA from 1 species